AGUGUCCAUAACAAUUUGUUAAAAUUUAAUGAAAAAAAUAAAAUAAAUUUGACUAACCUAGUAGUUAUUUCAUAUUAUUAUUUUUCGAUGUGUGUAAACAAAUACCUCUGCGUACCUUUGCGCAUGCGCGAUGCGGGAAAUUGGAAACAUCAUAACAAAAAUGGCGAACACCCGAUCUAAGUGGAAGGGUCCUGAAUCAGUUUUAACCGAGAGCACGAAGAAACGAAUAAUCGAGAACGUGAUUUUAACUUCACAAAGACGAACACGUAUCUUAGAGACAGAGCAAGCAGAUGGCAUCAGUUAAAAAAGACCGAAGGGAUUAAAACAGACCCUCCUUUGGCCAAGCUAAUGCCUUGAACAGUUUUGAAAGCAAGCCUGAGAUCUAGAGCGUACGUAGAUCUGGUCAUAAAGAAACUGAAGCCAAUGAAGAUGACCACAGGCGACAUGGAGUACAUGCAGCCACUACGGACGACACUAUUACUAGUCGCACUUAGAUAUCACAGGAUUUAUAACACAAAAGUUCUUGGAGGACAAAAAGUGCCGUACAAGGUGGAAAGGACAUACCAACACAUCCAGGGACUCAUCAAUCUGAUAGUGGCCAACAGAAUAACAGAUAGAACUGGAAUAUCUAGCCAAAACCCUUGCAUCAAAUAGAUCCCAGAAGAUUCAAACUCCUAGCCCAUGCUCCUCCACCAUCUACUGCCCAAAUGGUAGAGGAGAAGAAAUCCCAAUUAAGAUGAAUGGGAAUAAUUGACAUUUUGAGACUAAUCACGUUCCAGAGACUAUUACUUUUGAAUAUCUGUCCUUACGUUUAGUAGCUGACCUGGUCCGAAGGACCAAGGUGAGUAUGCCAUACUGAGGCGUCCGGCAUUCGUCUGUCAACAUUGUGAACACAAUAUUUGAAUAACUUGAGUAAAUGUCAGAAUAUACCAAAUUUGAUAAAACUUUAUAAGCAGCCAUAUAUCGACAAGAUCUCAGACAACUUCAAAAAUAGAAAUUAUUGGACAGUAGUUUUUGACAGUAGUUUGCAGAGUUAUUGCCCUUUGUAAUGGUCUUAUUAUUAACAUUUUUUUAGUUCACUGGUCAGAAUGGAAACUCUUUUAGAAAUUCUACUAGUCCUGAACAAUUAAAUGGAUUUGAUGAAAUUUGGUCAGGAGAAUUAUGUGGCAAUGUUAUAUGUUGCAUAAAUGAAGCGUCACCAUCAUCUGAGUGGCACCUUUCGGGGCAAAAUAAGAGAAUUACCUGGUAUAGCAAAAAAAAAAAGGAUUUAACUCAUUUUUUUUUCAAGAAUUACAUCUAGUCCACUUGUAGUUUGAACCAUUGUUGGGAGAGGUAGUUCAAAAGUAGAAAAAUGUUUGAAAUGUAACUUAAAUUUGAGUAUUAUGUCAUCAUUACUGAAUUAUCCAGGUUAGCGAUGCAGGCCCUCUGGGCCUUUAGUUUAUUGGUAUAAUGUUACUAUAAUAGCUUAGCUGUUAUCCAUUCCAUUAAUGUCAUAUGAUAAUCAGUGCAGCCUUAAUUUCAAAAUUUAUAUAAUCUCAAGAGACAAACAACAUUGUCUGGUCUGAAAUUUAAAUGCUUAGUCAAAAAUGAUUAUUCAUAGCUGUACAUGUGUGCACUAUUGAAAUAUUCAUGUUAACACUCACAAGUAAUUUAUAAACUCUCAAAAUUCAUUGAUGUCAACACCCACUAGUGCUCAAUAGUCUUUAAUGUCAACACACACUAGUACUCAAUAGUCAUGGAUGACAACACUCACUAGUAGUAGUACUCAAUAGUCAUUUAUGUCAACACUCACUAAUACUCAUGUCAUAUAUGUCAACACUCACUAAUACUCAAUAGUCAUGGAUGACAACACUCACUAGUACUCAUUAGUAACGUAUGUCAACACUCCAUAAUACUCAAGUCAUGUAUGUCAACACUCCAUAAUACUCAAUAGUCAUUGAUGUCAACACUCAAUUAUCACUGAUGCCAACAAUUGUCAUUGAUGUUAAGUCACUAGUCAUGGCAGUCAACUUUCUCUAGUCAUUGAUGCCAAUGCUUACAUCUGAGCAAGACAAUAAAUACAAUGUGGUAAAUUCUUUAUUUGCAUGUUUGACUUUUCUCAGUGUUUUCUAUAUCAAAACUAUUUGUGAGACAAAUUGUACUGUGCAUUUACUGUUUAGUGUAUUAUCAACAUCAUAAGUCACUGUUCUGUUGAUAUUCUGAUAAAUUAGGGUUGGAUCUUUAGGUCACCUGAGAUGAAGUAUGAAGUGACCUAUUCUAACUGACUUUUGUCCGUCGUCUUUCGUUGUUUGUCUUUAAACAAUUUGUCAGUAAGCUUUCAUGGUCAAAAGGUCAACCAAAACUGUGGAUUACAUAGUCCCAACCUCCAGGGACCUGAGGGGCAGGGUCAAAAAGGGUCAAAUUGACUAAAAUUUGAAAGAUCUUCUCAGCUCGCAGAUAUGGUAGAAUCAUAUACUGGUGUCUUUAACAAAAAUUGUGAAUUUCAUAACCCUGAUGGGGGACUAAAUUUAUAUAGGGAAAUCACAAUUUUGAUCAGCAUUUGUUUGAUUUCUAUUGAAAUUCAUUCUAACUUCAUUAACAUUAUCAGCAUGGGAUGACAGCUUGAUCGCAUGCACAUGUUGGCCCUGACUGACCUUCUGGGCGAGGCUAAAAAGGGUCAAUUAAAUUGAAUAUUUCAAAACUCAGGUGACCAUUAAGGCCAAUUGGCCUCUUGUUUUACAUAAGCCAGUAUCAGUGAAAACUGAUGCAUAUGAAAUAUGGUACAUAAAACAAAAGGUUUCCAUGAAUUCAAUGAUGUAAUGUAAUUUAUUUUGAUUUUAUAUCAAACCUUUUCACUGCACAGGUGUCAAAACAACUUCCUUGAAAUAAGAUAAUUCAGCUUAUGUGUAUGGGCAAACAGACAAAGUGAUUACCAAUAAAAUGCUUAAAUUUU